AGGAAAAGAAAAAAAGAGAAUGAGGAGACAGGAAGAAAGAACCACGAUCGCACGUGCACUUAAAAGUGUAAGAUCAACUUUUUGGGGGGAAAAUAAUUUUUUUUCCAAGUUAAAAAAUAAAAUUUCAUUCUAUCAUCUGGCAGUAGAGAAAGAGAAAGGAAUACUAAAUCCUAACAGAAUCUUCUAGAAAUCAGUGUUCUUGAAAGGAUUCAAACUGAUGGGUGUGUGUGUGUGUGUGUGUGUGUGUGUGUGUAUCCUGGGGCUUGAACUCAGGGCCUGAGCACUGUCCUUG